rnacentral:piRNA from 1 species
CUAGCAUCACAAGUAUUAGAGGC